GACUGCAGAGGUCGCCAGGGCCCCCCGGAAGUGGUCGCUGCGGGAUAUCGCUACUGACUCUGACUCCUGGCUGGCGAUGGGUUGCGACGGAGGAACAAUCCCCAAGAGACACGAACUGGUGAAGGGACCGAAGAAGGUUGAGAAGGUUGACAAAGAUGCUGAAUUAGUGGCCCAAUGGAACUAUUGUACUCUAAGUCAAGAAAUAUUAAGGCGACCAAUAGUGGCCUGUGAACUUGGCAGACUUUAUAACAAAGAUGCCGUCAUUGAGUUUCUAUUGGACAAAUCUUCCGAAAAGGCUCUUGGGAAGGCAGCAUCUCACAUUAAAAGCAUUAAGGUAAGACCAGU